GUAAAACUGUCAAUGCGGUGGUGUAGAAGUUGGGUGAGAACGGGAAGUGUUUGCUUCAUUUCCAAACAGGUAAAAUAACAGCAAGGCUUAAGAGAGGGGUCAGGGUGAGAAAAAAUAGUAUAAAAAGAGAGAGAAAAGGCCCAACAAAUCAGUUGAGUGAGCAUCUCUGACACGGCAACAACUGCUGUACACUAUUUGUAACCAACUGCAUUCUCCAACGUAAUACUAGUUCGCAACCAAAUGUUAACUAAGGCGUCGUGCUACUGUUGGUUGUUGUAUCCUUGAUGGUUGGGUCGACCACUGGUGUACCGAUGUUUCGUGGGUAUGGUUGAUACCAAACCGCAACGCCGCCGUCUUACUACACAACAACAACGUGCGCAACAACCGGAUACUACACUACCAAGGCCGCUGAGUAUUACACCACAACCUAUGAUGUCCCGAACUACUACACCGAAGCCUCAAAGUAUAAU
rnacentral:lncRNA from 1 species